UACGUAGGUGGCAAGCGUUGUCCGGAUUUACUGGGCGUAAAGAGCGCGCAGGCGGUCGUUCAAGUCGCGUGUGAAAGCCCCCGGCUCAACUGGGGAGGGUCACGCGAUACUGAUCGACUCGAAGGCAGGAGAGGGAAGUGGAAUUCCCGGUGUAGUGGUGAAAUGCGUAGAUAUCGGGAGGAACACCCGUAGCGAAGGCGGCACUCUGGGCCGGAACUGACGCUGAGGAGCGAAAGCGUGGGGAGCAAACAGG
rnacentral:rRNA from 1 species